CAUGAGCCAAAGCCCACUGAGUCUCUCAGCAAGGCUGCUUUCGGCCUCAGUAGGCUGUGGCUUAAGCUCUGUAUGAAUGACAGUUCCUUUUCAGGAAUUACGAAAAAAAAAAAAAAGAACUUAUGACUUUUAGUUUCUGACUUCAUUUUGCCAAAGUGUUUUACCUAUGUUUUUUCUGUUUGAACCACCAUUGCCUGAUUUGGCUCUUCCCUCCUCUGAAAGGGGUGUUAGGUUUGAUGGUAAGGUGGAUAAUUUGCCAUGAAAAUGUCAGGGGUAAGCAGCAAUCUCAGAGCUCAGUGGCUGAAUUGCUCAGUACCCACUGUCCACUUUUACUCACUUUUCAUUUCUGAGCAUGUGUUAUUUUGAAGUACCUCAAAUAUUCUCAGACUCCAAGCUUUUUUGUACGUGAGCAUGUCAUUUCCCUUCCUUCUGCUGCAAUCACAAUUGGAUCCUGCAGGCACUUCCCAUAACAGGCCUCAGUUAUCAAUGGCAGGAGUUUCAAUGUAUUUCCCUUCGCAAAGGCUUUUGUUGCCAGAUGAAAGUUGUUACUUGUUUAUACCAGGCUGUGAGUAAUGCCCUUUUGCUAGCAUUGUACACAAUGUUUUUGGGUUUUUCGACAUUUAUCCCACCUGUUGUUAGACAAGGUUAGCUUUGCGAAUUGCAAAGAACAAUCUUUUCCCCUCAGGUGUCACUUUUUUCUGCAUUUUGCUCCUUUUUUUUGAGAUUCUUCUCCAAUCUGAAAGGUAAAAAGAAUAGACAAAAAUAUAAAAAUUAACAAGCUUAGAGGUCUUUUUCAGUCUACUACUUACUGCCAUGAAUAAAUGUUAAACAUAGAUUUGUGUGUCAACUUUCAGGCUUCUCAGAUGCCAUUUCUUUUGAGUCUCCUUUAGAUAUGUUGCAGCACACUGCUUUCAUGCUAUUUGCCUUGAUUUUGUGGAAUGCAACCCAAAUUGUACCAGUGCCAGCAUUUCUGUUAAAUGGUAGGAUGAGCCCUUUCUCUGCAGACCUCACUCCAUCAUAGUUCAUAAAAUAAGACCUUAUCUUGUGGGUCAUUGAACAUGUCCUAUGAGAAGAACAUUUAAACCAUGUUUAUUUUGAAUAUUGACUUUAAGUAUUUGGUCCAUCACUCUGAAGUCAUAACAUGAUAAUAAAAACUGUCCAUGAAAACUUUAGCAUCUUUUUCAUUCUUUUUAAUUUCACAGAUAUCCUUCCAUCUGCUUGCUUCCCAACUUUUCUCUGUGUUUUUAUUCAAAAAAACAGAGUUGGCUUUACCAUGGCUGUAUAGACUGUAAGGCACUAUACUAAUUGCUGUAAUGGUGUCAAAACUGUGGAGACACCUUCAGAGCCAAAUUACCAUUCUUGUGCUGCAUUUCUACAUGGAAGAUGCUCAUGCCUACCAGACUAUUUCCUUUUGUUGCUUCUUGUACAUAUAUAAAAAUCAGCUCCAGCUGCCCACUGUGGAGAAGUGUUUCAGUUUCACAUGGUCCCUAUGGAUCAAGAUCCCUGUAGACCUGCUAAGAAGAUGGGUGUUUUUGAUCUUCCAUGCUAGCCAACGUAAAACUGUCUAUCUUGUAAAUUUAUGGUCCUGUACAUCUUUCCCACCAUUCACUGUUUCAGUGAAUUAGAACCUCCCUGGAAUGUUCUUUCUUACUUCAGUUAUUUUCCACAAACCUCUUUAAAAUAACACUUAAUCUUGAAUCCUGAAUAUAUAGGUAACAUCUGCACUGUGCAUUCUGCAGUGACAGUUAUUUUAGGUGAAACUUGCCAUGAGUUCUGAUCAGAUUCUAAUUUUAUAGUUGUUCUUUUGUCUUUAGCCACUUCUUUGAAGUUUCCCCGUCUUAGGACUGUGGUAGGGUUUGUGAGAACAUUCAAAGAAACAGAUAACUAUAGUUAAGACUCUGCCUUCUCUCUAGAACUAAUUCAGCCAAGGAGAAAAAUAAAGGAAAAAAUAUGCCCUCAGGCACGCUUUCCCUUAUGCAUAUAGUCAUGUCCCAUGGAAAUGUUUAUCUGUAAAUUAGCAUCUUGGUUUAGUCUUGCCUCUCAAGGUUAUCUUGUUGCAGGGUAUAGCAUGCACUUCAUAAGUGAAAAACAAGUUUAAUCACUGGAAUUCUGUUAUUUUCAGCUGCAAUAAGAUGCAAGAUCAAGGUAACAAUUCUUUUGCCAGCUGGAGCUGCAGGGUAACAGGCUGCUGCUGGUUUUCCCUGUAGACAACAGCAAAGAACACAUUUUGUGUCAAAGUAAUUGCACUAGCAGGUGCCGUUGAACAACUGUGUUUUGGUUGCGACAUUAUUGUGGCUCAUUGCUUACCACAAAUGUUUAUGUAUAAAAAAAUUCAGUUCUGCUUUUAAAUUCCUAUUCAAGGAAGAAUAGGGUAGACAAUGGUGAAGCAAUAAUUACAGUUUAAAAGGGAGCAAGCCUCCUUCCCAUUUCUGGUGGGUGAAUACCACUGUUCUGUCUCAAGUCCUUCCUCAGGUGUUAUCACAGCCACCAUAAACCAGCACAGAGUGCUGGCAGCAUUAAGAGCUGUAAGAACAGGAAGAGAUUGUUGCAGUGGGAUACAUGCUGAUAUGAUUAGGUCACAUGUUUAGAGAACAAUGUAAUUUCAUGCACCACCAUACUCUCCUUGCUGAGGGCUCCAUGUGCAGUGGACUCUUCUUGCCUGCCUUCCUCACAGGCUCCACCGCAGGACUUGGCAGCUCCUGCUGCAGGAGGAGCAGAUGGUGAGAGGUGCAGCAAAGGGAGGGCUGGCAGCACAGCACCUGGGAGCCCAUAGCAUUUAGGGUGUACAGAAACAGUGAUAAGCUUGGUGUAAGUUCCUCCUAGUCUUGUGAAUCCAUGUAAGUUUACUUGCUGAAACCAUUACUUGCUCAUGCCAGGCCCAAGGCAAUGUUUAAUUUGAGCUUUUUGGGGCUGUGGACAGCUGCAGGGAAGGGUAUUUCAAAGAAAUGCAUGAGCUGAAAUACCCCAUGUCUGAGCUGAAAACCUCGUAUGAGAUGCCCUGAGGGCAUGUUAACAGGUUGCAGGUUAUCAGUACACUGAUGGGAUAGGACAGAUAUAAGGUCUCCUAAAGAUGAAUUCCCCAGCCUGAAAUUUAACAAUCUAAAACUGGGACCUGUGUCUUUAGUGUCCCCAUAAAACCCAUACGCACCUCAUACUGCUUAACCUAGAUAUCUACAUCAAAAUUAGUGUGUAUCUCUUUUUGGAAACCAAACAUUUAUGCUUGCAUCCUGUCAAAUGCGUGCAUAUGUAAAGACAUCAGCUCCUCACAACACACUGAGAACAGUCUGGGGGCAGAGCAGAAAUCCAACAGUGUUGUGCUUUUUUUUGUCCAGCACCUCCACCUCUCUCCAGCCCUCCCUUUAUCAGGGCUAUGAAGCAUCUCCAUGUCCUUGGCUAUUCCACUCCCAACCCCUUUGUUUUCAUGCUUGUGAGAAUGAAAAAUACUGUCAUGUAUUUCAGUUUGGGUGGUAUUCAUAUUUUGUUUUGCUAAGGAAACAUCCCUGAGCUCUUGCUAACAUCUUUAUAUGCAUGACUGUGGGGGAGUUCCCUUGCUCUUGUCUGUUUGGCAUCUCUGCUGCCCUUAGAGCACUCUAGUUUGGUGUGGUUGCCAUAGUCUGGUACUCUUCAGAGCACAGUCUCUUUAUCAAAUCGUUUUCUUACACAAUGUCCACGAUACAGGUAUCAAAACCAUUUGUAUUUUUAUUUCUUUUUCUUCCUUUUUUGUUUUCCUCCCUUUAAACAGCUCAGUGAAACCCCCAAAGCUGUCACGUGUUUCAACUGAAUAGCCACAACACUGUGGUGCUGUGCAAUACUUUCCCUUUCCUCUCUCCCUACCCCAGAUGUCACAUGCCCUCACUGACUCACCUAGAAUGUGGUUGGAGACUCCUGGCAUAGACUGACUUUGAUCUACUGAUGGGAAACAUCUACUGAUGAGAACCACAUUCCACCAGAACAAAACUACUGCAUCCAAAGGGACAUUGCUUAUCUGCUCAUGCCAGUGUUUCUGACAGAAGACAUGGCUGACCAGUAAACUUGGGUGCUUUUGGAAGGGAUUUCCUCUUUUGGGCUCUCUGAAUGAUUUUGAGGCAACAUCAGGCUAAGAACACCUCUGCUCUCUGACACAAUUUUAUUUGGUCAUUUAUGGGGCACUUGAUUGAUCUUAAGAUAUUCAUUUUUGUAAAUAAUAUGGCUAAAGUGGACAAAGCAUGGUAUUGGUUCCUUUUCUAGUUCUUAUGACUGCUCUUGCUUUCAGUUUUGUAGAGGAAAUCUAAUGCUUCAGACUGGGCUAUUCUACUGAAGUUCUAAAAACUGCCUUCUCCCACUGUCAACAAGCAUAAGCUUGGGACCUGCUCUUGGGUGCCAUUCUCAGGGCUGCGAAUUUGCCCUGGGCACAGCAGUGAGGAAAUCUCAGCUUGCAGUAUGUGCAUCUCCCCUCAUCAAACUGAAAGCCAAGACAGUUCACUAGACAUUAAAAAAUCUGGAUUUUCUGAACUUUUGCAAGACAUUGAAACUUGAGGCAUGGAGUGACUAAUAAAACUGGAUCAGAAGAAAAUGUAUAAAUUUUGUCAUCUAACAGAAAAUUUCAUGAAAAGGAUCUGAGGGAUUAUCUGAAUGUGAAGUUUAAGCUUAAAUAUGUGGAUUGUGAGACUAUGAAAGUAAAACAAAACCAACCAAACACACACAAAAAAGUGGGAUCAUUCACUUGGAGUGGAAUAAGCUGUUUCAGUUCCUUAUGGCAUUUCCCCAUACCAAGAGGGUUUGUUCUCUGCAGCAGUGGGGCAGCAGCUGCCAUCUCACUGCAGAGCACAACAGAUGGUGAAGAGGAAAACUCUGCUCUGCUUUUGGUGAGUUUCUGGUCUUUCUUCUUUCUGCUGUUUACAUGGCAUGGGAGAUAAAACAGCCCAAUGUAGGGGCAGCAUUUCUAUCUACCAUUUUGUUAAGCAAAAUACCCACAAGAUUAUAAUUUGUCUGUUUUGUUAAAAACAGGUGAAGAACAAGAGGUAAUUAAUUUUGGUGAAGUCAAAGGGGAACUGUAACUUCCUGCAGCAGGAAACCACCAUCUACUGAAAGAAGGGUGCAGGGUAACUUCUAACCUGGAACAGCGACUACAGAUGCUCAGAAGAAGCAGGAGGUUGAGGAGGACAGGAGCAAAGCUGAUCUAAGAUUUCCCUGUUCUCAUUCCUUUCCGCUUUAAUUCCUCCUCUCUGUAACCAGUAAUUUUCUCUUCUUUUAGAUUGGUGUAAUACCCACACUUCUAUGCAGGUAUCUUUCUAAAUGAAUUAUUUUAGCCCAGUUUUAAAGAUGGAACUGAACUAAUAAUCCACAAUCCAUGAUUUCAGGUUACUUAGGGGGGAAAAGAGUUAUCUCCAGAGUGUGUGGGUUGGCUGUGCUGCCCCUGGGGACAUCCCCUGUGUGCUGUGAUCUGCCCAUCUGCAGGGCUCUGCAGCGUCGCUGGGAGAGGGGCAGUUGUGCUCUGUCUGUCCUUGGAUGAACGCUCCGUCUCCUUGGUGACAGCUGGGCUUGUUGUCUCCUUGGCUCUCAAAUCCUGACAAGGCAGGUGCUGGUGGUAAAAGGGAAAAGAAGGGGAGGAAUGGUUUACCCAAAAGAAGGUAGCUAAUGUAACUGCACAAAGUCAUCUUCUGCACACUUUCAUAAUGAACAUUCACCAUUCCCUCUUGGAAGUACUUCUUAUCCCACCCUGAGGAGAAAUACUUAUUUCUCUUUGCCCUGGACCAGCACAUGAAGAAGUUACUUUUGCAGCUCCUUCCAAAAUUUCCUUGGAUGAAACAGGACUUGACACUUAACUCAGGAGUGGGUCAUCACUUUUUAGACCCGUUCUUUGACAUAAAAUACUUUUUUCAAGUCAGAAGAUAUUUUCUGGCCAACAUGCAGUCUGGAGUAAUAAUAAAUGGAUAGCUCCAACA